rnacentral:rRNA from 1 species
CCCUUAGAUGUUCUGGGCUGCACGCGUGCUACACUGAUACUGCCAAUAUGUCAUUCUUAUCCGAAAUGGAUUGGGUAAUCAAGUAAUGAAAUUUCAUGCUUGGAAUCGGUAAUUGCAAUUUUAUCGUGAACGAGGAAUUCCUAGUAAGCACUAGUCAUCAGCUAAUGUUGAUUAUGUCCCUGCCCUUUGUACACACCGCCCGUCGCUACUACUGAUUGGGUGUUCAAGUGAGAUGCUUAGACCCUUGUUGCAUGGUUCAUUAUUGUGCUCCGAAAGGAAAAAGUUUCAAGCUUGAGUGUCUAGAGGAAGUAAAAGUCGUAACA